UACGGAAGGCAGCAGUGGGGAAUAUUGCACAAUGGGCGCAAGCCUGAUGCAGCCAUGCCGCGUGUAUGAAAAAGGCCUUCGGGUUGUAAAGUGCUUUCAGUCGUGAGGAAGGUGUUAAGGUUAAUAACCUUAGCAAUUGACGUUAGCGACAGAAGAAGCACCGGCUAACUCCGUGCCAGCAGCCGCGGUAAUACGGAGGGUGCGAGCGUUAAUCGGAAUUACUGGGCGUAAAGGGCACGCAGGCGGUUAAUUAAGUUGGAUGUGAAAUCCCCGGGCUUAACCUGGGAAUGGCAUUCAAGACUGGUUAGCUAGAGUCUUGUAGAGGGGGUAGGAAUUCCAUGUGUAGCGGUGAAAUGCGUAGAGAUGUGGAGGAAUACCGGUGGCGAAGGCGGCCCCUGGGACAAAGGACUGACGCUCAUGUGCGAAAGCGUGGGGAGCGAAACAGGGAUUAGAUACC
rnacentral:rRNA from 1 species